AAUGCACAGAGAAGAAUCACCCGACUGGCUUGAACUUUCAUGUGAAAGGAAUGAACCUCUGUCUUAGUAAAGCCACCGUGAUUCAGGGUCCUUGUGAUAUUCACUGAGGCUGUAACAUAAUUGUUGAAAGAACAGGAGCGGGAGGGGAGAUGGAGUCGGAGAGGCAGGCAGAGGUCAGAUCACAUGGGGCCUGUAGGCCAAGGCGGAGGAAGAAACAGGUGACAUAGGACUCAAGGACCCCACCUGCUCCCAGGCGAAGGGAGUUUGCUGUGGGUGCCCCUCCCUGUCUGUGUGUCCAGUGUAUUCAUAUUCUUCAUACCUUGCCCAUAUUGGACAAAUACUUUUUUCUAUUCAAUAUUUAGAAGACAUUGCAUUAAAUAGCAAGAUGGCAGGUGAACAUCAGGAAGGAACAUUAGGAACAUCCACGGCGUUCCAUCCAGGAACCUUCACCGUGGAAACUCUUGUGCUCAUGGGCGUGGUCUCAAGACACAGUCAGCUGUUGGGGAUCAGAGGCGACACUCAUUGUAGCAGAGAGGCAGGACCAACUGGGAGAGGGUCCUUCUGUGACAACUAUUGCAUCACCGGGCUGUGUGAAGUGACUCAGCUGCCAGAACUCACACAAUAUCAUUCUACACCAAACCUCACGGGAAAAAUGGUCUGCAGCUUCCAGUCCCUCAAAUAACAACAUUGCUCCUCCCUGGAUCUGCAGCUCCACGACCCUCAGACUAGAACACGAUCUGUCCUCCCUGGGUCACCAGCUUCCGAACCUUCGAACUAAAACAACAUUGCUCCUCCCUGGGUCUGCAGCUCCACGACCCUCAAACUAGAAAAAGACCUCUCCUCACUGUGUCGCCAGCUUCUGGACCCUCGAACUACAAAAACAUUGCUCCUGCCUGGGUCUGCAGCUCCACGACCCUCAAUCCAGAUCAAGAUCUCUCCUCCCUGUGUCAUCAGCUUCCUGACCCUCGAACUAUGACAGCAUUGCUCCUCCCUGGGCGCACCCUCAAACUAGAACAAGACCUCUCCACCCUGCGUCGCCAGUUUCCGGAGCCUCAAACUAAAACAACCUUGCUCCUCCCUGGGUCUGCAGCUCCACAACCCUCAAACUAGAACCAGACCUCUCCUCCCUGUGUUGCCAGCUUCCUGACCCUUGAACUAUGGAAACAUGGCUCCUCCCUAGGUCUGCAGCUCCACGACCCUCAAACUAAAACAAGAUCUCUCCUCCCUGGGUCUGCAGCUCCACGACCCUCAAACUAAAACAAGAUCUCUCCUCCCUGUGUCAUCAGCUUCCAGUCCCUCAAAUAACAACAUUGCUCCUCCCUGGGUCUGCAGCUCCACGACCCUCAAACUAAAACAAGACCUCUCCUCUCUAGGUCUGCAGCUUCCAGUCCCUCAAAUAACAACAUUGCUCCUCCCUGGAUCUGCAGCUCCAUGACUCUCAGACUACAACAAGAUCUCUCCUCCCUGGGUCACCAGCUUCCGGACCCUCGAACUACGAAAACAUUGCUCCUCCCUGGGUCUCCAGCUCCAUGACCCUCAAACUAAAACAAGAUCUCUCCUCCCUGUGUCAUCAGCUUCCAGUCCCUCAAAUAACAACAUUGCUCCUCCCUGGGUCUGCAGCUCCACGACCCUUAAACUAGAACAAGACCUCUCCUCACUGUGUCGCCAGCUUCCGGACCCUUGAACUAUGAAAACAUUGCUCCUCCCUGGGUCCGCAGCUCCACGACCCUCAAACUAAAACAAGAUCUCUCCUCCCUAGGUCUGCAGCUUCCAGUCCCUCAAAUAACAACAUUGCUCCUCCCUGGAUCUGCAGCUCCACGACCCUCAGACUAGAACAAGACCUCUCCUCCCUGAGUCACCAGCUUCCGAACCUUCGAACUAAAACAACAUUGCUCCUCCCUGGGUCCGCAGCUCCAUGACCCUCAAACUAGAACAAGACCUCUCCUCCCUAGGUCUGCAGCUUCCAGUCCCCAAAUAACAACAUUGCUCCUCCCUGGAUCUGCAGCUCCACGACCCUCAGACUAGAACAAGAUCUCUCCUCCCUGGGUCACCAGCUUCCGGACCCUGGAACUACAAAAACAUUGCUCCUCCCUGGGUCUGCAGCUCCACAACCCUCAAACUAAAACAAGAUCUCUCCUCCCUGUGUUGCCAGCUUCCGGACCCUCGAACUAUGACAACAUUGCUCCUCCCUGGGUCUGCAGCUCCACGACCCUCAAAGCAGAUCAAGAUCUCUCCUUCCUGUGUCAUCAGCUUCCUGACCCUUGAACUAUGACAACAUUGCUCCUCCCUGGGUCUGCAGCUCCAUGACUCUCAAACUAGAACAGCAGCACCAGCUCCUUCCUGGACCUCCAGGUCAAUGACUCUCAGACUUCAAAGGCAGCAGCAGCUCCACCCCCAGGCUCCAGCUCUAAAACCCUCAGAUGUGAGCAGUGGCAGCACCAGCUCCUUUCUGCGUCUCCGGCUUCAUGAUCCUUAAAUUAGAACAGCAGCGCCAUCUUCUCCCUGCGUCUCCAGCUCCAGGAACCUCAAACUGCAACAGGAGCACCUGUUCCUCUGGGAUUUUCACCUCCACGACCCUGAGGUGUCAGUGGCAGCACUGGCUCCUCCCCUGGGCUGCAGCUCCAGAACCCUCAAGAAUAAUCCCUUCUCAUGAAAUGUAGCAGUCAGGAAAACUGCAGAGGAAGUAAAUAAAUAAAUGUUUUCUUUCAAA
rnacentral:lncRNA from 1 species